CCUACGGGAGGCUGCAGUGAGGCAUAUUGGUCAAUGGGCGAGAGCCUGAACCAGCCAAGUCGCGUGAAGGAUGACGGCCCUACGGGUUGUACACUUCUUUUGUCAGGGAGCAAUUGGGUCCACGCGUGGGCUUAGCGAGAGUACCUGAAGAAAAAGCAUCGGCUACCUCCGUCCCAGCAGCCGCGGAAAUACGGAGGAUGCGAGCGGUAUCCGGAUUUAUUGGGUUUAAAGGGUGCGUAGGCGGAAUAUCAAGUCAGCGGUAAACAUUCGGGGCUCAACCCCGUCGAGACGUUGAAACUGAUGUUCUUGAGUGGGCGAGAAGUAUGCGGAAUGCGCGGUGUAGCGGUGAAAUGCAUAGAUAUCACGCAGAACUCCGAUUGCGAAGGCAGCAUACCGGCGCCCGACUGACGCUGAAGCACGAAAGCGUGGGGAUCGAACAGGAUUAGAUACCCGGGUAGUC
rnacentral:rRNA from 1 species